rnacentral:sRNA from 1 species
AGCGCAGCCCAGAAUUAUUUUGCUGGUUCUGCCUUCAAAGAACUUCCAGUCCACAGGUCAGAAAAUUAAUUGUUUUGGAUCCAAAGAAACGGCUGACUACCUUUCAAGCUCUCCAGCAUCCGUGGGUCACAGGUAAAGCAGCCAAUUUUGUACACAUGGAUACCGCUCAAAAGAAGCUCCAAGAAUUCAAUGCCCGGCGUAAGCUUAAGGCAGCGGUGAAGGCUGUGGUGGCCUCUUCCCGCCUGGGAAGUGCCAGCAGCAGCCAUGGCAGCAUCCAGGAGAGCCACAAGGCUAGCCGAGACCCUUCUCCAAUCCAAGACGGCAACGAGGACAUGAAAGCUAUUCCAGAAGGAGAGAAAAUUCAAGGCAAUGGGGCCCAAGCCGCAGUUAAGGGGGCACAGGCUGAGCUGAUGAAGGUGCAAGCCUUAGAGAAAGUUAAAGGUGCAGAUAUAAAUGCUGAAGAGGCCCCCAAAAUGGUGCCCAAGGCAGUGGAGGAUGGGAUAAAGGUGGCUGACCUGGAACUAGAGGAGGGCCUAGCAGAGGAGAAGCUGAAGACUGUGGAGGAGGCAGCAGCUCCCAGAGAAGGGCAAGGAAGCUCUGCUGUGGGCUUUGAAGUUCCACAGCAAGAUGUGAUCCUGCCAGAGUACUAAACAGCUUCCUUCAGAUCUGGAAGCCAAACACCGGCAUUUUAUGUACUUUGUCCUUCAGCAAGAAAGGUGUGGAAGCAUGAUAUGUACUAUAGUGAUUCUGUUUUUGAGGUGCAAAAAACAUACAUAUAUACC